UACGUAGGGUGCGAGCGUUAAUCGGAAUUACUGGGCGUAAAGCGUGCGUAGGCGGUUCGUUAAGUUCGUUGUGAAAGCCCCGGGCUCAACCUGGGAACUGCAAUGGAAACUGGCGGGCUUGAGUGUGGCAGAGGGGGGUGGAAUUCCGCGUGUAGCAGUGAAAUGCGUAGAGAUGCGAAGGAACACCGAUGGCGAAGGCAGCCCCCUGGGCCAACACUGACGCUCAGGCACGAAAGCGUGGGGAGCAAACAGG
rnacentral:rRNA from 1 species